GGGGAAUUUUCCGCAAUGGGCGAAAGCCUGACGGAGCAAGACCGCGUGAGGGAGGAAGGCUCUUGGGUUGUAAACCUCUUUUGUCAGGGAAGAACACAAUGACGGUACCUGACGAAUCAGCCUCGGCUAACUCCGUGCCAGCAGCCGCGGUAAUACGGAGGAGGCAAGCGUUAUCCGGAAUUAUUGGGCGUAAAGCGUCCGCAGGUGGCUAUUCAAGUCUGCUGUCAAAGCACAGGGCUUAACCCUGUCAAGGCGGUGGAAACUGAAUGGCUAGAGAGAGGUAGGGGUAGAGGGAAUUCCCAGUGUAGCGGUGAAAUGCGUAGAGAUUGGGAAGAACAUCGGUGGCGAAAGCGCUCUACUGGACCUCAUCUGACACUCAGGGACGAAAGCUAGGGGAGCGAAAGGGAUUAGAUACCCCUG
rnacentral:rRNA from 1 species